UACAGAGGUCUCAAGCGUUGUUCGGAUUCAUUGGGCGUAAAGGGUGCGUAGGCGGCGCGGUAAGUCGGGUGUGAAAUCUCGGAGCUUAACUCCGAAACUGCAUUCGAUACUGCCGUGCUUGAGGACUGGAGAGGAGACUGGAAUUUACGGUGUAGCGGUGAAAUGCGUAGAUAUCGUAAGGAAGACCAGUGGCGAAGGCGGGUCUCUGGACAGUUCCUGACACUGAGACACGAAGGCCAGGGGAGCGAACGGG
rnacentral:rRNA from 1 species